CAUGAACUUGGAUUUGGUGGUCAUAAGCAUGGAAGCAAUUCACUCCAAGCAUGUUGAUGCCAACCUGCUGGCAGAGUUCAUCCCCUGCCCUGUUUUGCUCUUGCCCUUGUAAGAACUGCAGACUGUAGGAGGGAAACUUGUGAACCCGCCAUGCUCGUAGAUUCUAGAUUCUCCAGUGUGUAGCAAGUGCCCGAUUUUCUUCAACAGAGAGCAUUUGUAUGCCUGAGCUUUGUCACUAUUUUGUUCAAACAGUUUGAGUUCUGUUUCUGGCUUCUUGAUCAAAUACAGACGUUGCUCUGUUCAUGUUGAAACGUACAUAUGAUGGUUUUUGGUAUUGGAAAUUGUUUUCAUUUC
rnacentral:lncRNA from 1 species